CAGAAGACUAUUUAUCUGAAGAAAUAUAGAUGGUCAUGGUCCCAAAUAUAUAAUGAAAGAUAAAAUGCCAGAAAAAGACAUGUACAGCAACCACAAUAUUGAAACCAGAUUUCAUGCCAUUGCUAGCAAAGAUAAAAAGCAUAUCUUUACCAGGAUACUAGGAAGGGAUUUCAACUGCACUGCCAACAUUUAGGCUGUGCAUUUUGUCAUUAUAUUUAUGCAGAUUUUGUUCUGUGGUUCCAUCAUCCAACAUUUGCUAUACUAGAGACUACACAGGCACACCAAACUACACACCAUCUUGUCCCGACCUCUCUAGUUCAGUACUUUCCAGUGAGAUGCCCUUUCCUUUCUUGUUCUUAGUAUAGUCACAUUACAAGGUUCUAGCUAAGAAUUCUUACAUGCCAUCUGUCAAAAUUCGCCAAAAAAGUAUUCCAUCCUUUUUGCAAAUGAAGCCAUUGGAUAAGUAUUUCUCUAUGCUCAAAAUAACUCCAACUUUCAGCAACUUAAGAUUACAUUUAAACCAGACUGUUCUUUCAGUGGAUGAAUGAUUUUAAACAUUAUUCCCUAUUAAUUAAAAUUAAAUUAAUUUUACAAUUUGGUCCAGAUUUUCAGCAUACACAAGAGCUUAAUGUUCCACACAAAGCGAGAACUAAGGAUAACUAGACUUUCAUCUCCAAAGCAAGAACUUAAACUAAACUUUUUUAGUAUCAACCCCAUAGACAGGCUUCCAUAAUGUUGGAUAGUGAAACAACAUCACAUUAACAGAAACUAAACAUUAUGCUACUGAAUAGGUACACUCUUUGCCCACCAGCAGCAUUAACAAUGCCAAAAAUUGAAUGUACGUGGAAAUCUGUCAUACGCAAUUACUUAUCUUUCGCAUAAUAUUGUUCUACCCUCUAAGUUACGCAACAACAACAACCAAGCCUUAAUUCCAAACUAG
rnacentral:misc_RNA from 1 species